rnacentral:rRNA from 2 species
GGGUUGUGAGGUUAAGCGACUAAGCGUACACGGUGGAUGCCCUGGCAGUCAGAGGCGAUGAAGGACGUGCUAAUCUGCGAUAAGCGUCGGUAAGGUGAUAUGAACCGUUAUAACCGGCGAUUUCCGAAUGGGGAAACCCAGUGUGAUUCGUCACACUAUCAUUAACUGAAUCCAUAGGUUAAUGAGGCGAACCGGGGGAACUGAAACAUCUAAGUACCCCGAGGAAAAGAAAUCAACCGAGAUUCCCCCAGUAGCGGCGAGCGAACGGGGAGGAGCCCAGAGCCUGAAUCAGUGUGUGUGUUAGUGGAAGCGUCUGGAAAGGCGCGCGAUACAGGGUGACAGCCCCGUACACAAAAAUGCACAUGCUGUGAGCUCGAUGAGUAGGGCGGGACACGUGGUAUCCUGUCUGAAUAUGGGGGACCAUCCUCCAAGGCUAAAUACUCCUGACUGACCGAUAGUGAACCAGUACCGUGAGGGAAAGGCGAAAAGAACCCCGGCGAGGGGAGUGAAAAAGAACCUGAAACCGUGUACGUACAAGCAGUGGGAGCACAGAGCAAUCUGUGUGACUGCGUACCUUUUGUAUAAUGGGUCAGCGACUUAUAUUCUGUAGCAAGGUUAACCGAAUAGGGGAGCCGAAGGGAAACCGAGUCUUAACUGGGCGUUAAGUUGCAGGGUAUAGACCCGAAACCCGGUGAUCUAGCCAUGGGCAGGUUGAAGGUUGGGUAACACUAACUGGAGGACCGAACCGACUAAUGUUGAAAAAUUAGCGGAUGACUUGUGGCUGGGGGUGAAAGGCCAAUCAAACCGGGAGAUAGCUGGUUCUCCCCGAAAGCUAUUUAGGUAGCGCCUCGUGAAUUCAUCUCCGGGGGUAGAGCACUGUUUCGGCAAGGGGGUCAUCCCGACUUACCAACCCGAUGCAAACUGCGAAUACCGGAGAAUGUUAUCACGGGAGACACACGGCGGGUGCUAACGUCCGUCGUGAAGAGGGAAACAACCCAGACCGCCAGCUAAGGUCCCAAAGUCAUGGUUAAGUGGGAAACGAUGUGGGAAGGCCCAGACAGCCAGGAUGUUGGCUUAGAAGCAGCCAUCAUUUAAAGAAAGCGUAAUAGCUCACUGGUCGAGUCGGCCUGCGCGGAAGAUGUAACGGGGCUAAACCAUGCACCGAAGCUGCGGCAGCGACACUGUGUGUUGUUGGGUAGGGGAGCGUUCUGUAAGCCUGUGAAGGUGUGCUGUGAGGCAUGCUGGAGGUAUCAGAAGUGCGAAUGCUGACAUAAGUAACGAUAAAGCGGGUGAAAAGCCCGCUCGCCGGAAGACCAAGGGUUCCUGUCCAACGUUAAUCGGGGCAGGGUGAGUCGACCCCUAAGGCGAGGCCGAAAGGCGUAGUCGAUGGGAAACAGGUUAAUAUUCCUGUACUUGGUGUUACUGCGAAGGGGGGACGGAGAAGGCUAUGUUGGCCGGGCGACGGUUGUCCCGGUUUAAGCGUGUAGGCUGGUUUUCCAGGCAAAUCCGGAAAAUCAAGGCUGAGGCGUGAUGACGAGGCACUACGGUGCUGAAGCAACAAAUGCCCUGCUUCCAGGAAAAGCCUCUAAGCAUCAGGUAACAUCAAAUCGUACCCCAAACCGACACAGGUGGUCAGGUAGAGAAUACCAAGGCGCUUGAGAGAACUCGGGUGAAGGAACUAGGCAAAAUGGUGCCGUAACUUCGGGAGAAGGCACGCUGAUAUGUAGGUGAAGUCCCUCGCGGAUGGAGCUGAAAUCAGUCGAAGAUACCAGCUGGCUGCAACUGUUUAUUAAAAACACAGCACUGUGCAAACACGAAAGUGGACGUAUACGGUGUGACGCCUGCCCGGUGCCGGAAGGUUAAUUGAUGGGGUCAGCGCAAGCGAAGCUCUUGAUCGAAGCCCCGGUAAACGGCGGCCGUAACUAUAACGGUCCUAAGGUAGCGAAAUUCCUUGUCGGGUAAGUUCCGACCUGCACGAAUGGCGUAAUGAUGGCCAGGCUGUCUCCACCCGAGACUCAGUGAAAUUGAACUCGCUGUGAAGAUGCAGUGUACCCGCGGCAAGACGGAAAGACCCCGUGAACCUUUACUAUAGCUUGACACUGAACAUUGAGCCUUGAUGUGUAGGAUAGGUGGGAGGCUUUGAAGUGUGGACGCCAGUCUGCAUGGAGCCGACCUUGAAAUACCACCCUUUAAUGUUUGAUGUUCUAACGUGGACCCGUGAUCCGGGUUGCGGACAGUGUCUGGUGGGUAGUUUGACUGGGGCGGUCUCCUCCUAAAGAGUAACGGAGGAGCACGAAGGUUGGCUAAUCCUGGUCGGACAUCAGGAGGUUAGUGCAAUGGCAUAAGCCAGCUUGACUGCGAGCGUGACGGCGCGAGCAGGUGCGAAAGCAGGUCAUAGUGAUCCGGUGGUUCUGAAUGGAAGGGCCAUCGCUCAACGGAUAAAAGGUACUCCGGGGAUAACAGGCUGAUACCGCCCAAGAGUUCAUAUCGACGGCGGUGUUUGGCACCUCGAUGUCGGCUCAUCACAUCCUGGGGCUGAAGUAGGUCCCAAGGGUAUGGCUGUUCGCCAUUUAAAGUGGUACGCGAGCUGGGUUUAGAACGUCGUGAGACAGUUCGGUCCCUAUCUGCCGUGGGCGCUGGAGAACUGAGGGGGGCUGCUCCUAGUACGAGAGGACCGGAGUGGACGCAUCACUGGUGUUCGGGUUGUCAUGCCAAUGGCACUGCCCGGUAGCUAAAUGCGGAAGAGAUAAGUGCUGAAAGCAUCUAAGCACGAAACUUGCCCCGAGAUGAGUUCUCCCUGACCCUUUAAGGGUCCUGAAGGAACGUUGAAGACGACGACGUUGAUAGGCCGGGUGUGUAAGCGCAGCGAUGCGUUGAGCUAACCGGUACUAAUGAACCGUGAGGCUUAACCUUACAACGCCGAAGGUGUUU